rnacentral:rRNA from 1 species
CCUACGGGAGGCAGCAGUGAGGAAUAUUGGUCAAUGGACGAGAGUCUGAACCAGCCAAGUAGCGUGAAGGAUGACUGCCCUAUGGGUUGUAAACUUCUUUUAUAUGGGAAUAACAUGUUCCACGUGUGGGAUUUUGUAUGUACCAUAUGAAUAAGGACAGGCUAACUCCGUGCCAGCAGCCGCGGUAAUACGGAGUGUCCGAGCGUUAUCCGGAUUUAUUGGGUUUAAAGGGAGCGUAGGUGGAUCGUUAAGUCUGUUGGGAAAGUUUGCGGCUCAACCGUAACAUUGCAGUUGAAACUGGCAGUCUUGAGUACAGUAGAGGUAGGCGGAAUUCGUGGUGUAGCGGUGAAAUGCUUAGAUAUCACGAAGAACUCCGAUUGCGAAGGCAGCUCACUGGACUGCAACUGACACUGAGGCUCGAAAGUGUGGGUAUCAAACAGGAUUAGAUACCCGAGUAGUC